AGAAAUCUAGCAGUGGCACUUGUACGUGGGAGCGCUUUAAUGUAGAUUUUUCAAAGGAAAAGCCAACCUGAACCUCUUCUUCUUUUUUAUUUUUUAUUUUUACAUUUCUCUUACAUAUAAUCCUGAAAAGCCAAAUGUGAACUGUUGAAAUGGAGGGCAUGGUAUUUUGGAUAUGCUAAACCUUAUUUCUGACUCUCAAGCCUCUCAGCAACAGACCUCUGCCUGGUGUCUGUCUCAAUUUUGGCCCUGGCUCGACUGACAUUUCUGCAAAGAAGGGCUUCGGUUCAUGUUGUUAUUUAACUAAAUUCUCCGUGUCGUGUUUUUUGUCUUCUGAAAUGGGAAGCUAUAAAGGUUGGAAUGUAUGGGACAGUGGCUGCUUUAAUCCAUUAUCCUCUCUGGGAUGAUGUAACGCUGACAUAACCUGCAACAUGAGGAGUUUUAAGGUGCCAGCGGCAGUUGGUACCAGCCAGAGCUCACUUAAUCACCAUUGAUCACCAGAUCCAUCCAGAUUUGUCCGAUAUCAGCUUCUGUGAACUGAAAGUGAAACAUUGGUCUGUGAGAGAGGUCGCUUGGGAAGCUCUACUUCAAGUUCCCUAAAGGUCACCCAUGUCAAUGUCGGCAGGUUCUCCCACCGUUACAAUGGCCUCUUCACAAAAACAUGGAUGAAAAUGGUGAUUUUAAACAUGACGACAUUAAACAGGAUGGGGACAAAGGGCCUCAAAGGUCUGGUUCCACAGUGAACCUGUCCCAGAAGAGGCAGGCAACGGUGGGAUUGGCAGUUCCAACCAGCGAAGCUGUUGUAGCAUAUCCUGCUCGGUCAGUUCACUCCUGAGAGACCCCAGGAUGAUGCACACUAGUCUGAGCUCUCUGACAGACUUGUGAUAUCUCACAAUCGCAAGGGUGUAGUUGUGCGGACUUAAGGAGUGGACAAUGAACAGAACAAAGAAGUAUGAAGGUCUGUGUUCUGAGGGGAAGCCCCCGGCUGAAGUCCCUAUAGGUUGGCAGCGGAGGAUCACCCACAGCGGGGUUGUCUACAUAAGUCCCAGUGGCUCUGUGUUAGCCUGUCUGGAGCAGGUGAAGAGCUACCUGCUGACUGAUGGCACCUGCAAGUGUGGCCUGGAGUGUCCUCUCACCGUUCACGAGAUAUUCAGCUUUGACCCCGGGGCGGCGGUCAAGCAUAGGAUGGCUGAGGAUGCACGAGCCGAUGCCGAUUUCACCAAGCUGUGUAUCCACAAGAGGAAGAUCAUUGCCACGGCGACACUGCACAGGAACAUGGAGUCACUGCACCCCUCGCUGGCUCUGGCUAGUCACGGUAGUGGCACUGGUUCGGCGACGGUGGGUCCUAUGAGUCAUCCAGCAAUAAAGAACAAUAUGUACGAUGGUCCACCCAACAAGAUGACAAUACCUGGUCAACGGUACUAUAACCAUGAACUGGGUUCUCCUCAGAGAGAUCCGUACUCUGGUUACAGCAGGACAAGACUGGGGGGAAGUGAUCGCUGUAGCCAACAACGGUCUCCCUAUCGUAUCCGCCACCGUGUCCUGCUCAGCCCCUCCUCCUCCACCUCAUGUGGCUCGCAGCAUUAUGGUGAUGGGACUCCCUCCCCAAGGACUGAACUUCUGGGGAGUCCUGAGCCCAACAUGCUAGGUUUUCAUGGAGCUUGCAGCCCAGGCUCUGCCCUUAUGAACGGUGAUCGUUUUACACCUCUCUCACCACCUAGUGUUCUGCUCCACGGCUCGCCUUCGGCCACCCAGCCUUCGUGUGCCAUAGCAGGAAGGACUAAUGUACCUGUCAAUGCCAAAAGCCCCAAUAUGCAGAAGCCCUUCUAUAGCUUCCCCCACAACAACUUUCAACAUAAAGUCCAGCCUGCAUGCCAUCCACACCCACAGUCGCACUUGUCCCUGUCUCAGCUCCCUCCCUCUUCUGAGAUGGACCCUCUUGGUAUCCUGGACCCCAUUCCAAGCAAGGCUCCAAGUCAGGGUCCCUUAGUGUCAAAUGUAUCUGGCCUCCAACACAGUGCCCAUUCUCAGGUACCACCAAUGAAUGUAAACAUCCCCCCUACCAGUGUCCCUUUGCCCAGCAACCUGCCUUUACCAACUGGGAAGUCUGGACAUGUUGGGCAUGGCCAGAGGGUCCAGCACCACCCUACCCCUUCAUCGGUCUCGUCCUCGCCUAUUGUGUCCCCGGUACAUAUGGCUGGGCCUGUCCUUGCCAGGAUGGAGGAGUCACCCCACCGUUCACGUUGCUCCUCCGGAUCUUCUGAACAUGGGAGCUUUGCUCACCCCACGGGGAUCCAGGUUCCUUGUGGGGGUUCAAAGCCACUUCCUCGGGCCUCCUUGGGGUCCCCUCGACCUGCAAUGCCGCCAAGUUCAUAUAAGAUGGACAAACUCCAUCACUUGAACGAUAACCCCAAUUACCUGCCAGGGGGGAUGAAAAGUAGUCUAAGCAGGCAUUCCAACUCCAUGUGCCCUCCAGCUCCUGGUUCUGAUAGUGUCCUUCAAAGGAAUCACUCGGUAGGAAUGCCCCUUAACAAGAUGCUAGAUCAGCAGAAUCCUGCUUCCUUCCCAGCCAGCAGUCUUCUGUCAGCCGCAGCCAAAGCACAGCUAGUGAAUCAAAACAAACAUCCCGACAGCGCAGCGGCUGCAGGCACAGAGGCUCACAGUGGCAGCGGUUUGGGACACCCAGGACUGGUUGGUGGAGGCAGAGGUGGGAACCUAGAUGGACACAGCACUUUAAACCAGCGAUAUCUACCUAAUCCUGGGCCGUUGGCGAGCGAGGUUCAAACCGGAAGAGCAGCAUUAAGAGACAAACUCAUUGGUAUGGCUCAGCAGAGAGAAGCGAAUCGCAAGCGGAAACUGUCCAAUGAUGUCAGCGGUGGUGGCGUCAACAAUGACAGGGCUUUCGACGUGCUCAAACAUCCAAUGGGUGGCUCAGGAUCAAGUUCGGCUAGCUUUCCAGAGCCUUUGAGGAGAAUGUUUCAGCAGGGUAGCCUGCCCCCAAACACCUCCAUGGCCCAGCUACUCCAGUCCAUGAGCCACCAGAGUGCCCAUAAUGGGCCAAGCCACGUGGGCCACAGCCCAGCCCGAUCCAGCAAAUCUCCCUUCUUGGAGGAAGCUUUGCCUCAUAUGUCAGCUUUACAGCAGAGCUUGCGGGGGCCUCAGCUCCAGGGCAGAACGUUGGUCCCUUUCUUCCAGAACAUGAACAACGAAGGUCAGAUUUCAGGCCAAGAUCUAAACACGGAGCAGUUUAACGGGCCAAUGAACGUAAUGCAUGAUCCCGCCUUAGCUGGGAACGUUGGGGUGCUGGGUUACGGUGGUAGACAACAUGCAGCCAUGGGGUCAAUGCAGGACAACCCAAACUCUCACCAGCAGCAGCAGUUUGGACAUUAUCAGAAACCAUCCCAGGUGCAAGGCAACCCCCACUUCAGAGGCAGGGCAGGAUUGCCUCCCAUGAUGUCCAAUGGCAGUGUCCAAGCCCUCUCUAAGUCAGUUGAGGUCAGUAGUUCUCUGAGCUGUGAGCUGAGGCAGGCCCAAGAGGAGAGUCUCCAGUCUCUCAUCAGGAGCAGCCAAGCCAAUACACAGCAACAGCUUGUUCAGGGUCUGGGUCGUCACUCCAUACAGAGCCAGCAGCUCCACAGGUUCCAGAGCCAGGGCUCCCAUCCUGUUGCCCCUCUCCCUGGUGGUGCUGCCUCCAACCCCAUGAACAGCCUCCUUCAGAGAUUCCAGGGGGGUUUGCCUGAGAGGAUUCCACAGCCCAACAGAGCUAUGAUGAGUCGACCGGGGAUUAUGUCCAUGUCCCAACCCAGUGCCCCUUGCCUCCAGGAGAGUCAUCGAGAAUACCAGUCUCCCCAGGGCCUUCACAGUGGUGGGGGAGAAGUUAUUGAUCCUAUCCACAGGGAAGCGAUGGGCAUGGCCAGCAAGAGCACGUCUAAUGUCAUUACAUCAGCGGGUGGUAGCAGUUCCUUCGCUGCUACUGUUGUCUGCGAGCCUGUUGACCUCUCCCAUGCGGUCAACUCUGUCAUCCACACCGGCCCCCUCCGCUCAUAUCGGGAGCCAGUGCCGGAGCACCGACACCAUCCCAAGGUGGGCCGGCCCCGCAAGAAGACCCCUGAACGGAACAACAUCUUCUCCCCCGUUGCCAUGGAAUCUCCUACAAGAUUCCAUUCGCCUCGACGUGGAGCCCAGAGAAGACAAUGGGACGGAGAGGUGGCGGCCAAGGAGCAGGCUGGUCUGUGGCGUGAUGACGAGCCCCUCCAACAGCUUUCCUUAGCCCAGGGCAGAAACGGCACCUACCCAGAAAGGCCCAAAGGUCAGGCCCACUUAGGCCCCCAGGAUCAAACACCACUGCAAGUCCCCAGUGGUAUGUAUGCCCAUAUGAACGGCAACGGUAGGGAUCACACGUCGGGAAGACCCAGACACCCCAGCCUGUCCCCACCAGAGGGCUACUUCACCAAAGACUCCAGCCUCUUCAACGGACAUCUGAACGGCCAACUCAACGGGCAACUCAACGGGCACUGCUACAACAGGUAUUACAAUGGGCACCUGAACGGGAGCCUGAGCGGCGAGGAGGACCUGAGGCCUGGGGACUCGCCCUCCUCCAGUGAGGGGCUCCAGCUCCACCACAGGCCAAGAACUCAGACCCACUACCCGGGAGAGCUGCUCUGGGGCCAGGGCAAAGGCUUCCCUCCAUGGCCAGGCAAGAUGGGGAGCGAGGGGCACAUGUACUCCCUUGGGAUGGUGAACAGCAUACAGGGCAAAGUGAGAUUAUUGUAUUGUCAGUGUUGUGUGAUUAUGAUUGGUCACAUGACUACAGCACAUAAGGAAGUGGAGGUCUCCGCCAAAAUUCCACCCUUAAUUUCAACACAAUUUUACAUUACACUUUUGCUGCUACUACUGUUGUGCACCAUACCUUUUGAUAAUGCUUUGUAUAAGAGAGGAGUUUUAAAAUGUGCAGACAUUGGGCAUGGCAUGUCCCUGAAGGAUAUUAUAUUCUUCACAAGGAGCAUGGCAGGGAAAGAGAACAACUCAGGUGUUCUGCAUUCAAAAACUAUUUCUGCUCUGUGGCACUGCCAACGGCCUCAGAGAUGCCAAAGAAUUUGUCGUUUCACCCCCAUUUUCACUUCUGUCGACAUCCAUCGCUUGAAUUUAUUUACAGCCUAUUGUGCCUAUUAUUAUUAUUUUCAAAACUACUGUCCAGGCUCUUCAAUUUGGGAUUUGGGGAAUCUGCUUUUAUAUUUUUUAAUGUGACAUGUUAAUUUAGGCUAACAUUUGGACUAGGUGUUAUUUCAGUUUGGUUUCUUGCCUAGUUUGACCUUACAUAUAAUAUACAGUGGUGGAUGAAUUUGCCACACCCAUUCUUUUUAUAGGCCUGUGUGUAGACAGCUAUUUGAAUAAAUCUGACCCCCUUGUAUUGAGUAAAACAGAAAUUGAAAGCAGUUUGGAAGGGUAGGAGAAAAUGCUGCCUCCUUUUUAAUUAGAAAACUGUUGAAUUCUCUGUCGUGUGUUUAAUUAAGGAAGCUUGCCAGUUAGUCAUAAGACAAUGAGGCUUUAUUGAAGUUGAAUUGUUGUGAUUAUUGAGUGUUAAAUGAAGUCAUUGCUUAGACACAAGUCAUUCUGCAAACUCAUUUAGAACUCCUAUCCUGAGAACAGGGUUCUUUUGGUUUCACUUGGCUGCCUUAACACUCUCAUGCAGAUGAUCCUUUGGUAAAGUUUUUGGUUGAAUUCUUCCGGUCAGUGUUUUGGUAAUGUUUUUUUCUACUUGCCCUCAGGUAGAGUCAGACAAUUUCCAGAGGACACUAACAGAGGAUCUGGAGACCCUACACAAAGCAAACAAAAUAACUAGAAAUGGAGGAAAACGGAAUAACAACCUAGAAGCUGCUAUACAGGAGGCUAUGAGCGAGCUGGAUAAGAUGACAGGCAAUAUGUCACAGAGAGAACGACAAGUCAAGACCCCUAAACCCAAGAGGAGGAAGAUCUCCAGAUGACAGUGAAUGUGUGGAUCCGUUACUUCAGUGGCCUUCUAAGUAGCGGUCCAUCUAGCCAAUGGGUUUCAUUGUAGCCGAAGUGGAACCGCUAGCAAGUUAGCUGUGUGCGCGUUAGACGCGACCAUUGUCCACUCUGUUAAAUCAACUUGGUACUUAGUCCAGCUGGAUUGGUGCUACAAUUAGUCAACACCCCUUCCACCUUGACCACCACCAAGACACUGACAGUGAAAGAAGUACAAGAAAGGAUGGAGGAACCUAGCUGCAAAAUAAUCGCUAUGAUAUAUCCACUGCUAGCUUGUCCUUAUAUAGAAUCUCAUUCUUUUCCAUAUGAGGAAAUUGUUGGUACAAAUAUUUCUGAUGCAUUUUAGAUGUACAAUAGACAAAGGAAAACAGUACAUUAUAUUCAGUGAUUUAAUUGUGUAUAUUGUUCAGUAUUAUCAUAGAUGAGUCGAUCUAAUGCUCAUUUUCUAAUGUACAUGUCUAUCUUCUAUGUUUUUAUUUUGCACAAAACAGUGCGGCCAGAGAUUUCUUUUUUUCAAAAGAAAAGCAGCAUAAAGGCAUUUUUCUACAGAUCUAUUGAAACAUGCUGUUAAGCAUCAAACCCCGCAGAAGGGUUAGGAACAUUUGAACUUCAACAGACACUAUUUUCAGGAAGGUUGUUCUUCUCUUACUGGAAAGGCAUACAGAGUCCCAAGAAAAGUAUACUGGAAGAUUUGAAGAUAGACACUGGGUCUAUCUGAACAUAGAGAGACGUGCAAAUACUUUCUCUUAUGUUUUUAUCCAAGAAAAGAAAAAGCCAUCAAGGGAAGGAGUCUAAAAAAAAUGCCUCUUAAGUUAAAUUAUAUUUACUCCCAAAGUAAAAUGUAUUUUCUCUGAAUAUUUUUGAUACAGAUUUUCUGUGUUAUAUCUGCCAAAUGACUUUAAUUGUGAGUGUUUUGUGUUCAUAAAAAAAAAAGGGUAAGUUAUUGUAAAGUAUAAACAAAUUUGUUGUAUACAUGCAUUCUGAUACUUAAGUAUUCAAUAUUAACAGUUGUAAUAUAUGGUUCUGUCACUAGUGUUUAAUUUACAAUUAAGUUAAUAUUUAAAUGUAAUUUGAGCAUUGCUCUUUUGUGUUUUUGUUGUUUUUGUUUUUUUUUACCCUUGAAUGUGUCAUUUUCAAGUGUCAAAAUGCCUUAUUGGAUGAACUGCACAUUUACAGUUCAGAAGAGAUCAGUAUUAUACACGUUGGUUUCGCUUGCUCUGAAAAGCAAGUUUAAACGACCCACGACAGUAUGAGAGUGAACAUUGAUUUGAGCCUUAUAUCCAAUGCUAUAACCCCCAGCUGCCAAAGCUAUGCCCCAUCACAGGUUGGGACUUUUAGUUGAUAUUAUUUACCUUUUUAAUACUCUAUUGAAUAGGUGGCCUUAAUUUAGUUGAUUUACAUUUGUUUGUGUUGCUUUUGUACUUUCAUUAUUUAUUUAUGAAUCCCAUAUUUAUUUGUAGAUUUGUUACAUUGCAUUAAAAUGGUUACUUAGCAAUAAUACUAAGAGUUGUACACUCUGAAAAGCCUUUAUGGUGUUAUAUUUUUCUCUUAACAAAUGAACAGCCUAUAUAUGGAUAAAUAUUCAGUCAGUGGUUUUUAAAUAUGAAUUUAUAUAUUUGUGUUUAUUUAUGAAGUGUAAUUUCUUUGGAUGCGUGUAUGUGCAUAUAGUGUUGUUGUUUUUUUAUUACUCAUGUCAAAACUGAGUGUAUAUUCCCAUAGCCUGAAGACAUUUUUAAAUGUUUAUAUUAAAUGAGUGAACUUAAUUUUCUGUACUUUAUACCCUGACUCAGGAGGGGAACCUUCUGAUUUGAUCAGUCUUGGGUAAAUCUGAAAUUGUAAAACUGAAAAGUUCUUGAUAAGUUUGUCCAAAAAUGUUGUAUUUAAAAUACAAUAUCAAGUCAUAUGUAUUUCAUUCUAAAAGAACAACAGGGCAUCCUAAAAUGUAAUCGCUAGGUGACCAAGUGUUAAUACAAGUGUCAUCAACAUUAGAUUCAUCUUGUUUAGAAUUAUUUAAUUUAGCACUCUUACUCCUAAAAUAUGAAGAGCUCACCACUAGUUCAUGGACUAAGUAAUUCAUGUUAACUGUUUUCCAUUUCAAAAUACUAGGCUUAUUUAUCAUUAAAGUAUCAUGAGUUACAUUUCAUAACAAUUAUUUAGGUCUUCCAUUUUCAACUUUUUGUCUACUGCAAUGAUCUUGAGUGAUUGUGUUUAUAUGGAAUAAAUGUUUUGCCAUCUUGGGGGAAAAAAAACUAAAAAACAGUUUGAAUUAGCUUUUUAUUGACUUUUUCCAUGUCAUUUUUGUGAUUUUUAUUUCAGGACAUACGGUACAAGCUGAGUGGCCCACAUUGGUUUUAUGAUGUGAAAAUAUUUUUAUUUGUUGUUAAACAUUUUUAUUUUAAGUCAUUUGGCAUUUUAACAGUCACAUGAUGUGGCACCAACAUUUAAGUAUAUUUUGUACUUGGUGUUCUUAUAGUUUUUAAUAUCUUUCUGCAUACAUAACAGCUGUAGCAUCUCCCCUUUCUGCUUCUCCAGCAGAAAUGUUUCACAUUUAAAAAAAGUGUGCCUGAAAUUACAGGCAGUGGAAAGUGGCUAUUAUGCUUCGUUCAAAAUCUUUCCAUUGUGUUUGUUCCAUAGGGAUGUACAAAUUUGACAAAGUAUUGCAUUCAUUUUGCAAUAAAAGUAUGUAUUCUAUCAA